GGACGGGUAGCUCAGUGGGAUGAGCGUUCGCCUGAAAAGCGAAAGGUCGCCGGUUCGAUCCCGGCCCCGAACC
rnacentral:tRNA from 1 species